CGCGAGAUUUUGCAAAGUGGAGUGAAAUUCAAAUCAGGUUUGGAGUUUGGCGAUUACGGUUUAUGGGAUUAAAGGAUGGCAUUCCUUUGGAAGAGAGGCUUCCAAUUUUCAUUUUGUACCUUUCCAGACGGACUGAAUUUUCUGAUCUUCCCCGUGGGUUCCUUAAUAUAUCAACGGCGGUUAUUAAGAUAUAUGCCCAGGAGUGGGAUUGCUGUAUCAUACAAAGAUGAACUCAAAAUGACUGAAAGACUUAAAUAUAAGACAUGAAACUAUAAAACUCCUAGAAGAGAACAUAGGCAAAAAAUGCUCUGACAUAAUCAUAACAACGUUUUCUUAGAUCAGUCUCUCAAGAGAAAAGAAAUAAAAGCAAAAAUAAACAAAUGGGGCUUACUCGAAUUUAUAAGCUCUUGCACAGCAAAGGAAACCAUGAACAAAAUGAAAAGACAACCUACAGGAUGGGAGAAAAUAUUUGCAAAUGAUGCAACCUACAAGGGCUUAAUAUCCAAAAUAUACAAACAGCUCAUACAGCUAAAUAUCAAAACAAACAACCAAUCAAAAUAUGGGCAGAAGACCUAAAUAGACAUUUCUCCAAAGACAUACAGAUGGCCAACAGGCACAUGAAAAGAUGCUCAACAUCCCUAAUUAUUAGAGAAAUACAAAUCAAAACUACGAUGAGGUAUCACCUCACACUGGUCAGGAUGGCCGUCCUCAAAAAGCCUACAAACAGUAAAUGCUGGAGAGGGUGUGGAGAAAAGGGAACCUUCCUGCACUGUUGGUGGGAAUGUACACUGGUGCAGCCAUUACGGAGAACGGUAUGGAGUUUCCUUAAAAAACUAAAAAUGGAAUUAGAGUUCUUACUUGCAAUGAAUAGGAACUGACUGGGGAUGACUUAAGUAGAAAUUUAUUUAACGAGAGGAUUUGGGGUAAGUAUCAGAAUUAAUAGCAAGGAUGAAGGACCACACUCGGAAGAGAACAUGGGGAAACAAAAGGAAGCUGGGGACACAUUACCAUCAUCAAAAUCACUCCAGACAACAGCUCAUCCUGGACCCCAAUGUCAUUCCUGCUGAAGCCUGGACCGACAGGUCACUUCACCCACUGACCCUGAACUUGAGGAUGCCGCCACCGCACAACUUCCGGUGCUGUCUCUGGAGACUGUGUUGUUUAAAAUUCUGCCACCUCCUGAGGAGUUGUCCCCAUCUAUGCUUUUUGUGUCCGUUUCUCUUGAUUCCCUGCAGUGCCAGUUUCUUUGUGUCCUCAGGUUUUGUUUCUACAUUUGUGUGUCUGGUUAGUUGAACCUAGAGCACAUGUCCAUGCUCUGUUUUCUACAAAGGCUGAGAAAUCGAGUAUGAAAUUUUUACCUUUCACUGUUAAUUAUGUCAAUUUCUCCGUGGAAGUUCUAGUAACGUACUGUCUCUCCUGUGUAUUUCUCUCAGGGACUUUGAAGCAUCGGUCCCACAUUUCCUAUCUCUCUUUAAUCACGACUCCCUGAGCCUUUUCUUUGUACCUUCUAUUACCUGCAUUACUGCCUAGUCCUUGAUUUUUAGGCAUUGAGGCUUCUCACAUGGAAAUAGUUCCUGAUUUCUCUCUUUUCUCUGAAACCUCAUGAAUUUUGAAAGCUGCUUCAAAUAUUUCGUUUUCUUUUUUUGAUUCAGGCAUAUUUUCUGCCAUAGUUCUCAUCCUUCAGUUUGUCCUUAAAAUUCUCCAAUUUUAAGGUUUCAUAACUGAAACCUUAGCAGUCAUGAAUGUAAUGAUUUCAUACCUCUUUAGCAAUAAAAUGAUUUCAAACCUGCAAAUGAAAUCUGCAGAAUGAAUAACUGCGGCUGGUCUGACUGGAGCCUGGGUAAGGGCCGGCUUUCUUUGCUAAGUACACCUUUUUUUCUCAUCUGUGCAGCCUCCCCUUGGCUGCCUGUACCAGUUGGAGUUUGGGGUUGCAAAGUAACAGACAGUGUAAUUUACUGGAAGGAUGUGAAGGCAGCUCAGAGAACUGAAGGGAAGGCUGAAGGUCCAGCUGGGAACCAGCAGCAACUCCGGAUCUCAGUAAGUGGAACCACUUGUUGGUUUUUAGGGCACUGCUGCUAAUUCUUUUUUCUGCCUUUGCUCAACAUUCAAAGUCCUAAAGCGAGUAAACUUUGACCACGUGCCCAUCCAUUGGUCAGGACACCAUGUUUUAUGGUUCCAACCUAUUACCAAACUAAACUUGGGUGCGCUCAGCCAAAGCACAGCAAAGCCAAUCUACCAACACCAGGUUGUAGUGAAGAAAAGUGCAGCAUUUAUUGUAAAGUGCCAAGCAUGGGGCAAAGCAAGGGAAACGUGCAGCUCAUGCUCAAAAGACCAGAACUCCCCAGUGGCUUUCAGAGAAGGGUUUUUAAAGACUGUGAGGGAGAGAGUCCCAGGGUGCAUGAUCAGCUUGUGCAGAAUUCUCUGAUUGGUUGAUGGUAAGGUAACAGGGUGAUGUUUCAGGAAUCUCCGUCAUCAACCUACUGGUUCCAACCAGUUUGGGGUCUACAUGCUGGUGGUCAGCAUGCAGUUAACUUCUUCCAUCUGGUUGGGGUUUUAGUAUCUAUAAAACGACUCAAGGAUAUGACUCAGGAUUUUAUCUAUAGCCAUUGAGGAAGAAUUAAAGGUUCUUGAUUUUGUUUUAUGGGUGAACUACUAUGAUAUUGUCUUGUUUGACUGUUUUCCUUUGUUUCUGCAUUUUUUUCACUUCUCUGAUUAAAUUUGCUCUUUGGAACUCUGGAAAGGCCUAGGAGGCUAAAGCUUUUUACAGACAAGAGGCAGGGGACAUGAGGAUGUCUGUGCCUGGGAAGGCCCUACAGGGUCCUGCUUGGUUUCAAACCCAACAGCACACAGUACUGGAGAGGUAAUUCUGGUCAACAUAAUAACUAUACAUUUGUGGUCUGUGAGACAGAUUAGGAAAUAAUCUAUAUUUAAAAGGUGCAAAAUCCAACUAGAUAAAGAGUUUAGUUACAGCCCCAGCACUGGGGGUAGAUGGGACUGUCAUGCAGAUUUUAAUUAGCUUCGAGCAAACAGAUUAGUUGCAACUCAGUGGGGUGGGAGAUAGUGUGAGUAUGAGAUGUCGUGCACCCAAAUUAGACAAUUAUAUUUAUGACAGGGGUUAUAGUAAGAAUUGUGUCAGAAGUUAGAGUAAAAAUAAAAUGUCUAAGAAGUAGCCAGAUGAAACCAUUUCUAGAUGAACAGGAUUGGCAUAUUAACAGGGAGCUCAGGUAGAUUAUUCUGGAAAUUGCCACUAGGUUCCAGGUCUCUGUCCAGAAUCUCUAACCACAGCCUGAAAUUUUUUGAGUAAAGAGAUGAUAAAAUGACUUAGCAACUCCAGGAAUAUGUAAAAAUAAGCAUGGAGAAAAUAAUGAUAAAAUCCUUGGAAUCAAUAUUUUUGUACCAGUUUGGAAUGUUAAGGGCAAAUCUAGGUGACCACAACUGCAGAAAAUAAAUGAAAAAGAAAAUGGGAAAUUUGAGCAGUGUAUAUAAUCAUCUGAAAAAUAUAGGUUGUCGUGUUUUUAAAUCUGACAUAUUAAACUUGUAAGUUCAAUUUGAAAA